UAGGGAAUCUUCCACAAUGGACGCACGUCUGAUGGAGCAACGCCGCGUGAGUGAAGAAGGUUUUCGGAUCGUAAAGCUCUGUUGUUGGUGAAGAAGGAUAGAGGCAGUAACUGGUCUUUAUUUGACGGUAAUCAACCAGAAAGUCACGGCUAACUACGUGCCAGCAGCCGCGGUAAUACGUAGGUGGCAAGCGUUGUCCGGAUUUAUUGGGCGUAAAGCGAGCGCAGGCGGAAUGAUAAGUCUGAUGUGAAAGCCCACGGCUCAACCGUGGAACUGCAUCGGAAACUGUCAUUCUUGAGUGCAGAAGAGGAGAGUGGAAUUCCAUGUGUAGCGGUGGAAUGCGUAGAUAUAUGGAAGAACACCAGUGGCGAAGGCGGCUCUCUGGUCUGCAACUGACGCUGAGGCUCGAAAGCAUGGGUAGCGAACAGG
rnacentral:rRNA from 1 species